CACACACACACACUCAUGGCAAAGAGAGAGAAAAGUGUGCUUUUGUGUGCUUUUGUGUAGUCCAAGGCUUGGAGUGUGUUCUAGGAAGUCUUUUGCUAAUAUUUAUGUGAACACUUUUCUGAAGCAAAGAAAGAACUGAUAUGAAGAAGAAGAAUAUCAGGACUAUCCAGACUCUUAGAUGGUUCCUGAUACUAGUUUUUGAGGCGAGACCUCCCUUUUUGGGAACUACCAUGUUGUAGUUCAAUAACUUAGUUUAAAGACAAUAUUUAUAAUUCUGUUGUUAUGUAGUCAUUAAACCUUAGAUAUUUUGGCUUGUAUGACUAUUUAUGCCCUGUGAGGCAUGACUACUACUACUUUGUAUAAUUAUGCUGACUUACUUAUUAUAUCUAUCUUGAGGUAUUUCAGUAGAA